CAGUCGCCGCGGUAAUACCGAGGGUGCGAGCGUUAAUCGGAUUUACUGGGCGUAAAGCGUGCGUAGGCGGCUUUUUAAGUCGGAUGUGAAAUCCCUGAGCUUAACUUAGGAAUUGCAUUCGAUACUGGGAAGCUAGAGUAUGGGAGAGGAUGGUGGAAUUUCCUGUGUAGCGGUGAAAUGCGUAGAUAUAGGAAGGAACACCAGUGGCGAGGGCGACUACCUGGACUGAUACUGACACUGAGGUGCGAAAGCGUGGGGAGCAAACAGGAUUAGAUACCCCAGUAGUCCCUGUCUCUUAUAC
rnacentral:rRNA from 1 species